GUUAAAAAGCUCGUAGUUGGAUUUCGGACUGGUGCAGUUUGGUCUGCCGCAAGGUGUGUUACUGCACUGUGCUGUCUUCUUCUCAGAGUCCUGCUGUGCACUUGAUUGUGUGCAGUAUUUUGGAAUUUGAGACGUUUACUUUGAAAAAAUUAGAGUGUUCAAAGCAGGCCUUGUUAUGCCCGAAUACAUGAGCAUGGAAUAAUGGAAUAGGACUACGGUCUUAUUUUGUUGGUUUCUGAGACCGAAGUAAUGAUUAAGAGAGACAAUUGGGGGCAUCCGUAUUUCGUUGUCAGAGGUGAAAUUCUUGGUUUUACGAAAGACGAACAACUGCGAAAGCAUUUGCCAAGAGUGUUUUCAUUAAUCAAGAGCGAAAGUUAGAGGAUCGAAGACGAUCAGAUACCGUCCUAGUUCUAACCAUAAACGAUGUCGACUAGGGAUUGGCGGGCGUUACUUUCAUUACGACCUCGUCAGCACCUUACGGGAAACCAAAGUCUUUGGAUUCCGUGGGAAGUACGGUUGCAAAACUGAAACUUAAAGGAAUUGACGGAAGGGCACCACCAGGAGUGGAGCCUGCGGCUUAAUUUGACACAACACGGGAAACCUCACCAGGCCCAGACAUAGUAAGGAUUGACAGGUUGAGAGCCCUUUCUUGAUUCUAUGGGUG
rnacentral:rRNA from 1 species